GACGAACGCUGGCGGCGUGCUUAACACAUGCAAGUCGAACGAAGAGCGAUGGAAGCUUGCUUCUAUCAAUCUUAGUGGCGAACGGGUGAGUAACGCGUAAUCAACCUGCCCUUCAGAGGGGGACAACAGUUGGAAACGACUGCUAAUACCGCAUACGAUCUAAUCUCGGCAUCGAGGAUAGAUGAAAGGUGGCCUCUACAUGUAAGCUAUCACUGAAGGAGGGGAUUGCGUCUGAUUAGCUAGUUGGAGGGGUAACGGCCCACCAAGGCGAUGAUCAGUAGCCGGUCUGAGAGGAUGAACGGCCACAUUGGGACUGAGACACGGCCCAGACUCCUACGGGAGGCAGCAGUGGGGAAUCUUCCGCAAUGGACGAAAGUCUGACGGAGCAACGCCGCGUGAGGGAUGACGGCCUUCGGGUUGUAAAGCUCUGUUAAUCGGGACGAAAGGCCUUCUUGCGAAUAGUGAGAAGGAUUGACGGUACCGGAAUAGAAAGCCACGGCUAACUACGUG
rnacentral:rRNA from 1 species